rnacentral:rRNA from 1 species
UAGGGAAUAUUGGGCAAUGGAGGGAACUCUGACCCAGCCAUGCCGCGUGCAGGAUGAAGGCGUUAUGCGUUGUAAACUGCUUUUUAUAUAGGAAGAAAUAGUCCUUGCGAGGAAAGUUGACGGUACUAUAUGAAUAAGCACCGGCUAACUCCGUGCCAGCAGCCGCGGUAAUACGGAGGGUGCAAGCGUUGUCCGGAUUUAUUGGGUUUAAAGGGUGCGUAGGCGGUUUAUUAAGUCAGUGGUGAAAGACGGUCGCUCAACGAUUGCAGUGCCAUUGAUACUGGUAGACUUGAGUAUGAUUGAGGUAGCUGGAAUGGAUAGUGUAGCGGUGAAAUGCAUAGAUAUUAUCCAGAACACCAAUUGCGUAGGCAAGUUACUAAGUCAUAACUGACGCUGAGGCACGAAAGUGUGGGUAUCAAACAGGAUUAGAUACCCUGGUAGUCCCUGAGCGGGCUGGCAAGGCGCAU